GGAUUAUCUCAUCUUCAUCCUGUAAUUCCAGUGUUUGUCACGUGGUUGUUGAAUAAAUGAAUAAAGAAUGAGAAAACCAGAAGCUCUGAUACAUAAUCAUAAUGAUAAUUAUUUCAAUGCACAACUACGGGUGGUGCUGAACUAGAAUCUAUAUUUUCUGAAACUGGCUCCUCUAGGAUCUACUAAUGAUUUAAAUCUAAAAGAUGAAGUUAGUAAAGCAUCAGAAAAAAAAGUGGGUAUUCCUACAAGUCAGGACAUUCUACGUGACUACAAUAUAAUCUCACAGAAAUUUAACAUUAAUACAUUCUAAGAUUUAAUUCUUAGAUUCUUGGUAA
ensembl:lncRNA novel transcript